rnacentral:rRNA from 1 species
CCUACGGGAGGCAGCAGUGAGGAAUAUUGGUCAAUGGGCGCGAGCCUGAACCAGCCAAGUCGCGUGAGGGAAGACGGUCCUAUGGAUUGUAAACCUCUUUUGUCGGGGAGCAAAAGACGCCACGCGUGGCGUUCCGAGAGUACCCGAAGAAAAAGCAUCGGCUAACUCCGUGCCAGCCGCCGCGGUAAUACGGAGGAUGCGAGAGUUAUCCGGAUUUAUUGGGUUUAAAGGUUGCGCAGGCGGAAGAUCAAGUCAGCGGUAAAAUUGAGAGGCUCAACCUCUUCGAGCCGUUGAAACUGGUUUUCUUGAGUGAGCGAGAGGUAUGCGGAAUGCGUGGUGUAGCGGUGAAAUGCAUAGAUAUCACGCAGAACUCCGAUUGCGAAGGCAGCAUACCGGCGCUCAACUGACGCUCAUGCACGAAAGUGUGGGUAUCGAACAGGAUUAGAUACCCCUGUAGUC